rnacentral:rRNA from 1 species
AUACGUAGGUGGCAAGCGUUGUCCGGAAUUACUGGGCGUAAAGGGCACGCAGGCGGUUUUUUAAGUCAGAUGUGAAAGGUACCGGCUCAACCGGUGACAUGCAUUUGAAACUGAAAGACUUGAGUAUUGGAGAGGCAAGUGGAAUUCCUAGUGUAGCGGUGAAAUGCGUAGAGAUUUGGAGGAACACCAGUGGCGAAGGCGACUUUCUGGUCUGUAACUGACACUGAGGCGCGAAAGCGUGGGGAGC